UGGGGAAUUUUGGACAAUGGGGGAAACCCUGAUCCAGCCAUCCCGCGUGUGCGAUGAAGGCCUUCGGGUUGUAAAGCACUUUUGGCAGGAAAGAAACGUCAUGGGUUAAUACCCCGUGAAACUGACGGUACCUGCAGAAUAAGCACCGGCUAACUACGUGCCAGCAGCCGCGGUAAUACGUAGGGUGCAAGCGUUAAUCGGAAUUACUGGGCGUAAAGCGUGCGCAGGCGGUUCGGAAAGAAAGAUGUGAAAUCCCAGAGCUCAACUUUGGAACUGCAUUUUUAACUACCGGGCUAGAGUGUGUCAGAGGGAGGUGGAAUUCCGCGUGUAGCAGUGAAAUGCGUAGAUAUGCGGAGGAACACCGAUGGCGAAGGCAGCCUCCUGGGAUAACACUGACGCUCAUGCACGAAAGCGUGGCGAGCAAACAGG
rnacentral:rRNA from 1 species